UAAAUUGUAAUAUAAUUAUUUGUUACAUAUAAGAAGAAUGACAAUCUUUAAAUUGACCAUUAAUUAAUAAAAUCUAUUUGUUACAUGUUGUUUCAAUGUUGUAGCAACAUACAGAAUCAAUGUAGAAGAAUCAACAUAGAUUCAACGUUGAAAAAAUAUUUAUAUUUUAAUAUUCAACAUUGUAACAUCUUCGCAACGUUAUUUCAACUUUCUGUGCUGUAUGGGGAAGAAAGAAAAGAAGGAAGUUGCAUAUAACAGCUAAAUUGACAGUAUUUUUCUAAUACAACUCGACAGAGACGAUGGGAAUGGAAAAUUAUAAAACGUUUCCUUGGAAACACUUUUAUUUCUGCUUCAUGUUGUAUAAGAAUAUAGUACCGAGAGAAAUGUUCCAAUAUUUUACUUACGACGCAAAUAUCAACACGUUUUUUAACAAACGAAACAUCAGGUAUAUCAAAUAUAAAAGCUUUCAACAAAUCUUCGUUUAAUCUGUAUAAAAGUCGUAUGCAAAUUUUUCAUAAAUGUUCACUCUCAUGUAUAAGUUCUAAAUAUAUACUUAAAGAUAUUUUCUCUUUUGAUAGAUUAUAUUGUACAUUCGUUUGCUUGUUACGGACAAAUACUUUUGCUGAUUAUCCGUAUGGUCAAUAUACACGUUAGGCAAGCAGGAUGUCGAAACCGGUAUAAUUGUCAACUCAAUUUCAUGAAUUCCUUGUUUUUAUAUUCAUCACAGAUGUGCAGCGAUACAAAGCGACGAAAGCAACGUUCGCAAAAAUAAAUGUGUCGAGUAACAAUAAAUCAAAAACAAUCGUUGUAUCCUCUUCGAGUUGAGCUUACUAAGAACUCGAUUGCUUCCAGUGUAACGUUAGAAGUGACAAACAACUUCAAGAUACUCUCAACGAUAUCAAAUAUUAUAUAUAAAGUCGCGUAUAGAAACGAGCGUCACCUUGCCGCUUGUUAUACGUAUUACGAGAAAAUGGGCUGUAUAUCCUUUGGUAUAAUAAUUAGUACAAUAAUAAUAAUAAUAUAUACGUUAUAUUAAA